UUGUAUGUUUACAAGAGCGUACGGUGGAUGCCUUGGCACUAAGAGCCGAAGAAGGACGUUGUAACCUGCGAAAUGCCUCGGGAAGUUGGUAAACGAACUGUGAUCCGAGGGUGUCCGAAUGGGGAAACCUGGCCAGAGUCAUGUCUGGUUACCGCCGCCUGAAUAUAUAGGGCGUCGGAGGUAACGAGGGGAAGUGAAACAUCUCAGUACCCUCAGGAAAAGAUAUUCCGUUAGUAGUGGCGAGCGAAAGCGGAUCAGGCCAAACCGGUUGUGUGUGAUAGCUGACAGGCGUUGCGCAGCCGGGGUAGUGGGACAUAUUCGACCUCCUCUGUCAGGGAGGUGCGGAGUAAGAAAGUUGUUGUGUAGUCGAACGAUCUGGGAAGGUCGGCCAUAGCGGGUGAUAGCCCCGUAGACGAAACGCGACAACCUCCGUUGAAUGUGCACCCAAGUAGCACGGGGCCCGUGAAAUCCCGUGUGAAUCUGCCACGACCACGUGGUAAGCCUAAAUACUACUUAGUGACCGAUAGCGAAUAGUACCGUGAGGGAAUGGUGAAAAGUACCCCGGGAGGGGAGUGAAAUAGUACCUGAAACCGUGCGCUUACAAUCCGUUGGAGCCUUCCUCCCGCUUGCGGGAGUGCGGGGUGACAGCGUGCCUUUUGAAGAAUGAGCCUGCGAGUUAUGGUACGUGGCGAGGUUAACCCGAGUGGGGAAGCCGUAGCGAAAGCGAGUCUGAAUAGGGCGAAUGAGUCGCGUGCUGUAGACCCGAAGCGUAGUGAUCUAUCCAUGGGCAGGUUGAAGCGCGGGUAAGACCGCGUGGAGGACCGAACCCACCUCAGUUGAAAAUGGGGGGGAUGACCUGUGGAUAGGGGUGAAAGGCCAAUCAAACUACGUGAUAGCUGGUUCUCCCCGAAAUGCAUUUAGGUGCAGCGUCUUGUGUUUCUUACUGGAGGUAGAGCUACUGGAUGGCCGAUGGGCCCAACCCGGUUACUGACGUCAGCCAAACUCCGAAUGCCAGUAAGUGAGAACAAGGCAGUGAGACUGUGGGGGAUAAGCUUCAUAGUCGAAAGGGAAACAGCCCAGAUCAUCAGCUAAGGCCCCUAAGCGUGUACUAAGUGGGAAAGGAUGUGGAGUUGCACAGACAACCAGGAGGUUGGCUUAGAAGCAGCCACCCUUGAAAGAGUGCGUAAUAGCUCACUGGUCAAGUGAUUCCGCGCCGACAAUGUAGCGGGGCUCAAGUACACCGCCGAAGCUGUGGCAAUGCAACGUUAGUCCUAACGGAUGUUGUGUUGGGUAGGGGAGCGUCGUAUGGCGAGAGAAGCUGCCGGGUAACCGAGUGGUGGACGCUAUACGAGUGAGAAUGCAGGCAUGAGUAGCGAAAGACGGGUGAGAAACCCGUCCGCCGAAUGACCAAGGGUUCCAGGGCCAGGUUAAUCCGCCCUGGGUUAGUCGGGACCUAAGGCGAGGCCGACAGGCGUAGUCGAUGGACAAGGAGUUGAUAUUCUCCUACCGGCGAAGUAUCGCCCCGACCGAACGAGAUGAUGCUAAGAACCGAUUCACCGGACUGCCUUCCUUCGGGUUGGCGGAUCGAUUGAAUCGCUUCGAACCGACUCUCCAGUAGGUGAGCGUAUUAACAGGAGUGACGCAGUAUGGUAGCUUCCGCGGACCUAAUGGCUUGGUCCGUCCAAACGCGCAGGAUGUCAGAUAGGCAAAUCCGUCUGACGCAAGUCCGAGGCGUGAUGGUGACACCGAAUGGUGGAAGCAGAGUGAUCCUAGGCUGCCGAGAAAAGCUUCGACGCGAGAUACUAGCCGCCCGUACCCUAAACCGACUCAGGUGGUCAGGUAGAGAAUACUAAGGCGAUCGAGAUAAUCAUGGUUAAGGAACUCGGCAAAAUGCCCCCGUAACUUCGGGAGAAGGGGGGCCUUGAUCCUGAAGCUCUUCACGAGCUAGGGAGAGAGGCCGCAGAGACCAGAGAGAAGCGACUGUUUACUAAAAACACAGGUCCGUGCUAACACGUAAGUGGAUGUAUACGGACUGACGCCUGCCCGGUGCUGGAAGGUUAAGAGGAUCGGUCAAUCAACCUUGUGUUGGUGAAGCUGAAAAUUUAAGCCCCAGUAAACGGCGGUGGUAACUAUAACCAUCCUAAGGUAGCGAAAUUCCUUGUCGGGUAAGUUCCGACCUGCACGAAUGGCGUAACGACUUCUCUACUGUCUCAACCAUGAACUCGGCGAAAUUGCAUUACGAGUAAAGAUGCUCGUUACGCGCAGCAGGACGGAAAGACCCCGGGACCUUUACUAUAGCUUGGUAUUGGUGCUCGCUACGGUUUGUGUAGGAUAGGUGGGAGACUGUGAAGCAGGUACGCCAGUACUUGUGGAGUCAACGUUGAAAUACCACUCUGAUCGUAGUGCGCAUCUAACCUCGGUCCGUAAUCCGGAUCAGGGACAGUGCCUGGUGGGUAGUUUAACUGGGGCGGUUGCCUCCUAAAGAGUAACGGAGGCGCUCAAAGGUUCCCUCAAUCUGGUUGGCAAUCAGAUGAUGAGUGUAAGUGCACAAGGGAGCUUGACUGCGAGACUGACAGGUCGAGCAGGGACGAAAGUCGGAACUAGUGAUCCGGCACCACCGAGUGGAAGGGGUGUCGCUCAACGGAUAAAAGGUACCCCGGGGAUAACAGGCUGAUCUUGCCCAAGAGUCCAUAUCGACGGCAUGGUUUGGCACCUCGAUGUCGGCUCGUCGCAUCCUGGGGCUGGAGUAGGUCCCAAGGGUUGGGCUGUUCGCCCAUUAAAGCGGUACGCGAGCUGGGUUUAGAACGUCGUGAGACAGUUCGGUCCCUAUCCGCUGCGCGCGUAGGAAGUUUGAGAAGGGCUAUCCCUAGUACGAGAGGACCGGGAUGGACGAACCUCUGGUAUGCCAGUUGUCCUGCCAAGGGCACGGCUGGUUAGCUACGUUCGGAACGGAUAACCGCUGAAAGCAUCUAAGCGGGAAGCCAGCUUCAAGAUGAGACUUCCAGUCACAUUAGUGGCGAAGGCCCCCUGUAGACCACGGGGUUGAUAGGCCGGAAGUGGAAGUGUGGUAACACAUGCAGCUGACCGGUACUAAUGGCCGACAACAUAUACAAAA
rfam:Ruaniaceae bacterium KH17 genome assembly, contig: Ga0066873_112